AGGAGAGUUUGAUCCUGGCUCAGGAUGAACGCUAGCGGCAGGCCUAAUACAUGCAAGUCGAACGGGAGAGCCCCUUCGGGGGCUCGAGAGUGGCGCACGGGUGCGUAACGCGUAUGCAACCAACCCCGCACUGGGGGACAGCCGGUGGAAACGCCGGGUAAUACCCCAUGCCGACAUUCGGGGACAUCCCCGUGUGUCGAAAGCAGCGAUGCGGUGCGGGACGGGCAUGCGUCCCAUUAGGUAGACGGCGGGGUAACGGCCCACCGUGCCUGCGAUGGGUAGGGGAUCUGAGAGGACGGUCCCCCACACUGGUACUGAGACACGGACCAGACUCCUACGGGAGGCAGCAGUAAGGAAUAUUGGGCAAUGGGGGGAACCCUGACCCAGCCAUGCCGCGUGAGGGAUGUAGGCCCUACGGGUCGUGAACCUCUUUUGCCGGGGGACAACCGCGGAGUCGCGAACUCCGCCUGCGGGUACCCGGCGAAUAAGCAUCGGCUAACUCCGUGCCAGCAGCCGCGGUAAUACGGAGGAUGCGAGCGUUAUCCGGAUUCAUUGGGUUUAAAGGGUGCGCAGGCGGCUGCCUAAGUCAGCGGUGAAAGUCAGGGGCCCAACCCCGGAAGUGCCGUUGAUACUGGGUGGCUGGAAUGCGGUCGAGGCGGGCGGAAUGUGGUGUGUAGCGGUGAAAUGCAUAGAUAUGCCACAGAACGCCGAUAGCGAAGGCAGCUCGCCAGGCCUGCAUUGACGCUCGGGCACGAAAGCGUGGGGAUCAAACAGGAUUAGAUACCCUGGUCCU
rnacentral:rRNA from 1 species